UAGGAGCUUAGUACAAUUUUUUAUUUUUGUUUCAAGUUUGAACCACCCAACACUCAAGAGUGCAUAUUAUUCUAAGGGUUACUUUUGUCAUUCCAAAAAAACUGAUCCCUUCUUCACCUUUCUAUCCAAUCUAGAGAGAAAGGUUUUGCAUGUGGGUCCCAGUUAAAACAUUUUAUCCUCUCCCUUUUUAUGGUGGUGCCAAACAAUGGAAACAAGAUCUAUCCACUCACUUUCUUUCCAUCUUUCAAUCUUUCCAUAGAACCAAACAUAGCCUAAGAUAACACAAGCACCAGUGCAUCCAAAAAUUGCUCCAAGGAAUUCUUUCAUUCCACCAUCAUCAAAUAGUUGAAUGUGAAGAAAAAUGUGAUUCAUGGAAAGAAGAAAGAAUCAUGGAGAAAGAAAACGAAAGAAAUAGAAAAGAAAAAGAAAAAAGAAGGAAAAAAAAAGUGAUUCAUGGAAUGAAGAUGAGAGAAAUAUCUGAUACCAUAACCUAACCUCAAAAUUCAAUCCAAUCCUUCUUCAAUUUUCUACCUUUUUCUUCUUCUCUUUGAAUCGAUUCGGGCGCCGCUGCUGGUGGUGGUCGAGGAAACAUGCUUCUCGCUCCUAGAUUCGAUUCUUCAUCUUCCAAUUCACAUGCUUUUGGUUCAUUGUCAUCUGAUUUAAACCCCUUUUAUUUGGAUCUGCUUUUCCACACCCCUUUCAAUUACGAGAUGCUUUUUAUUUCGAAGAGAAGAAAAAGAAAAUGAGGUGAUGUUUUUGUUGUUGUGCUGCAACCGGGUUGGAUCAUGCAUAAAGAAUCAUGGAGAAAGAAUUCUGGAAAGAAGAUGAAUCGCGUUUUUGUGCUCUUUUUUCUUUUCCUUUUCUAUUUUUUUUCUUCAAAAAUUCUAAUUUUUUUAUUUUUAUUGGUGAGGUGGAAUUCUUUUUAUUUUAAAAUUAAAAAAUUGCACGCGUGGCAUGCCACUCAGUGUUGACUGAGUCAAAAUUGGUCAGAAGGACUAGAGAUGCAAAUGGGUUAAAUAGUUUUUGUACAUAGGGGCUAAAAUCGCAACUUUUUGAAACUUAAGAGAGGAAAAGUGCGCUUUAGCCAUAUAAAUAUUGCUAGUUUGAUGAUUGUAUACAUACCUUUGUAUGAAUACGAGGAGUGCUAAAAACGCUAUAUUUUCAAUAUUUUUUUAGGAAAUCUUUUCAAUAUUCU
rnacentral:lncRNA from 1 species